AACGUAGGUGGCGAGCGUUAUCCGGAAUUACUGGGCGUAAAGCGUGCGCAGGCGGUUGAUUAAGUCUGAUGUGAAAGCCCCGGGCUCAACCUGGGAAUGGCAUUGGAAACUGGUCAGCUGGAGUGUGGCAGAGGGGGGUGGAAUUCCGCGUGUAGCAGUGAAAUGCGUAGAGAUGCGGAGGAACACCGAUGGCGAAGGCAGCCCCCUGGGCCAACACUGACGCUCAGGCACGAAAGCGUGGGGAGCAAACAGG
rnacentral:rRNA from 1 species